CCGGCUCCCGCCCAGACUCGGCGGCCUCCGGGGCUGCGUCGGCGCGCGGGGUCCGCGCGGCCCCGGGCAGGAGCUUCCCGCCCUGGCAAAGUCGGUGAGAGGCAGCCGCUCAGUUGAGCACCCGCCCGGAGUCCGAGGGAGGCUGAAACGGAGAACACAGCUUAGAGCCGAGGCCUUAAGAGACUUCCUGCUGCUCCUCAUCAUGAAAGAUUUUAAUGAACUGAGACAGGGAGCAGAGCAGAUGUGGACAAGAGAAAGAAACAUUAGACAAACACCACCCAGCAUGGUGGCAGAGGACUUUAAUCCCAGCACUUGGAAAGUGGAGCUGGAAGGAUCAAGAGUUCAAAUUCACAGCUACACGGUUAACUGAGGCCAACCUCAGCUAGGCUCUGCAUCCUGGCUGACACACUAUGAGCACUCUCCUCUACACAGACUUCCCAUACCAGAAUGCUCUGCCUUACAGGUAAGGGCUGGAUGGAUGGCGCACUCUUACAAUCUGUAUUGUAGAGACACACCUACUCCUUAUGGUAUAAAGGAAUAUGCAUGUACAUGUUGUUCUGCUGUAGCAUGUACACACUAACAGGUGUUGUUCAGCGUUAACUCUCUCACCACCGGCCAGCCAAACCAGCAGCCAUGAUCUAGACUCAGGAUUGGAAACAGCCUCAGGAUGAGGCGGAGUGCAAAGGGCAACAAGAAAAACACAGACAUCACUAGUCUCAGAAAUGGGGAUGGCCACUCCAGAGGAGGAUCAAAACUGAGCCCUGAAAGGAUCAGCUGCUUCUGGUCCCCCCUCCGCUUCCCCAGCCCCCACACUCUGCUUGCUGGAGCUGAGGCGUAAGCAGCAUGAUGAAGAUGCUUAUCUGCUACCUUGGGUUCUCCAGCUUGCCGAAUAAAGUGCAGUUAGAGACUUAGUUCCUGGCACCGUUCACUGGCUGCUGUGGUCGCAGGCAGCUCUGUCAAACUCUGGCAACCCCACAAGGACAGCUUCAAGACCACCCAGAGUCGCUGAGUCACUGAGGUCUCAUCAUCAGUGCUGGACUUGGGGAGCCCAGAGUUCCAGGCUGGAAAAUUCUUAAGCAGCCAACAAGUGACUCAGAAACUUCUUCUUUCCCAGGUCCCUGGUACAUAGAUUAUCUUGCCUUCAUUUCAUGUACUGGAUCAUUGUGCUCUCUGGUUGGGUGCCCAGGCGAAGGCUUGUUUGGCCUUCGAUUUCAAAGCAUAUUCUGCACGGUUUUUAUUCUCAGGUUACGGCCCACGAGGGCACCUGUUCUGCUCUGUUCUGUCCUGUUGUCUAGCUUGUUUCAGAGUUCUAACUUUUUUUUUUUUUUUGAGAUAGGGUUUCUCUGUGUGGCCUUGGCUGUACUAGACUCUCUUUGUAGACCAGGCUGGCCUUGAACGCAAAAAGAUUUUUUUUUUAACAGAAAAGAAUUUUAUGUAUGACUUCAGGUUCUACACAAAUGAUAAGGAUCCCUCAUUACCCCAUUGGUGAAUAAUCUAAGAGCAAAGAGUUAUGACAUUUUUUUAACUUCGUUUUUAUUCAUUUAUUUUUUCUCUCAAUGCAUAUCCUUAUUGCAGCCUCCUUUUCUCCCGGUCCGACCUUCUUACCCUCUUUUCCCUUUCCUCCUCCCCUUCUCCUCAGAAAAGGGGAACCCCUCACAUGACUGCCACCCCACCCCGGCACAUCAAGUCUCAUCAGGACUAAGCACAUCCUCUUCCCCUGAAGCCAACAAGGCAGCUAGGGGAAAGUGAUCCAAAAGCAGGCAAUGGGAGUCCAUGUCAGAGACAGCCCCCGCUCUAAUUGCUAGGGGAGCCUCAUAAAGACCGAGCUGUCCAUCAGCUACAUAUGUGUAGAGGACCUAGGUCCAGUCCAUGCAUGCUCUUUGGUUGGUGGUUCAGUCUCUGUGAACCCCCCUGAGCCCAGGUUAGUUGAGUCUGUUGGUCUUCCUGUGGAGUUCUUGUUUCUUCCAGGUCUCUCUAUCCUUCCCCUAACCCUUCCACAAGAUCCCCUGAGCUCUACUUAAUGUUUGGCUGUGGGUCUCUGCAUCUAUUUCAAUUUGACGCAAGGUGGAGCCUCUCAGGACAGUUAUGCUAGGCUCCUGUCUGAAAGCAUAGCAGAGUUAUCAUUAAUAGAAUCAGGGCGUGGUUCUCUCCCACGGGGUGGGUCUCAGGUUGGGCCAGUCACUGUUUGGCCCCUCCCUCAAUCUCUGCUCCAUCUUUAUCCCUGCACAUCUUAUAGGGAGGAUAAACAUUGGGUCGAAGGUUUUAUGGGUAGGUUGGUGUCCCCCUCUCUCCACUAGAAGUCCUGCCUGGCUAUAGAAGGUGGCUACUUCAGUCUCCAAAUCCCUAGCUGCUGGGAACCUCAGCUAGAGCCACCCCCAAAUCCUCCCAGGAGCCUACCCUGUCUCGGAUCUCCCCCUUGUUCCAGAGAUGCCCUCCCCCAUCAGUUUCCCUUGUCUCCCCCAGUCCUCUGACCUCCCAUCCCUGCCCUCCCCUCACCUGAUCCCCACCCUCAUUCCCCCUCCCACCCACUCUUUCAACCAGUUCUCUCUCUUCAUCCACUUCCGAUAUCUAUUUUAUUUCCCCUUCUGAGCGAGAGUCAAGCAUCCUCCCUUGAGCCCUGUUUGUCACUUAGCUGUUUUUGGGUCUGUGUAGAAUGGUUAUCCUAUAUUAUAUGGCUAACAUAUACUUACUAACAUAUAUGGUAUGUAGUUAUAAGUAACUACAUACUUAUAACUACAUACCAUACUACUUACUUAUAACUACAUACCAUAGCUGCUUUUCUGGGUUACCUCACUUGGCAUAAUCUUUUCUAUUUGCCUGCAAUUUUCAUGAUUUCCUCGUUUUUAAUAGCUGAGUAAUAAUCCAUUGUGUAAAUAUACCACAUUUUCUUUAUUUAUUCUUUGGUUGAGGGGCAUCUAGGUUGUUUCCAGUUUCUGGCUAUUCUGAAUAAAGCUCCUAUGAACAUAGUUGAGCAGGUAUCCUUGUGGUAUGGUGGAGCAUCUUUUGGAUAUAUGCCCAGGAAUGAUAUAGCUGGUAGAACUAUUCCCAAUUUUCUGAGAAAGUGCCAGAUUGAUUUCCAAACUCGUUGUAGAAGUUUGUACUCUCAUCAGCAAUGGAAGAGGCUUCCCCUUUCUUCACAUCCUUUCCAGCAUGUGCUGUCACUUGAGCUUUUGAUCUUAUUCAUUCUGAUGAGUGUAAGAUGGAAUCUCAGAGUCAUUUUGAUUUGCAUUUCCCUGAUGACUAAGGAUGUUGAACAUUUAUUUAAGUACUUCUCAGCUCUUAGAGAUUCCUAUGUUAAGAAUUCUCACUUUGGCUCUGUACCCCAUUUUUUAAUUGGGUACAGAGCUCAACUUCAUAUGGAAAAAUAAAAAACCCAGAAUAGCUAAAAAAAAUUCUGUACCAUUAAAGAACUUCCAGAGGCAUCAACAUUCCAUAUUUCAAGUCAUAUACAAAGCAAUAGUAAUAAAAACUGCCUGGUAUUAGCAUAAAAACAGACAGGUUGAUCAAUGGGAUCUGGGUCAAAGACCUAGAAAUAAACCCACAAAUCUAUGGACACUUGAUUUUUUACAAAGAAGCCAAAACUAUACAAUGGAAAAAGAAGAAGGCAUCGUAAAUAAGUGGUGCUGGUCUGACAGGAUGUCUGCAUGUAGAAGCAUGCAAAUAAAUACGUAUUUAUCACCCUGCACAAACCUUAAGUCUAAACGAAUCAAAGGCCUUGACAGAAAAUCAGAUGCAUUAAAUCUAAUAGAAGAGAAAGUGGGGAAUAACCUUGAACUCAUUAGUACAGGAGACAAUUCCUGAACAGAACACCAACAGCACAGGCUCUAAGAUCAACAAUCAAUAAAUGGGACCUCAUGAAACUGAAAAGCUUCUGCAAAGGAAAGGACACCGCCAGUAGAACAAAACAGCAGUCUUCAGAUUGGGAUAAGAUCUUCACCAGCACUACAUCUGACAGAGGACUAAUAUCCAAUAUAUACAAAGAACUCAAGAAAUGAAGCACCAACAAACCAAAUAAUCCAAUUCAAAAAACCAAAGUUCUAACUUUUAGAAUGGGUAACAGCCACAUUGCUGGCAACAGCCUCUUGGAGCACACGCUGAUAAAUUAGUCUGACUACGCUUAUGCCUCCAGUUUUAAAAAGUAGCCUAUUCUAUAUCCCCCAAGCCAUCAGGGGAGUGAAGGUCUUCUGUAUCCCAAACUAUAAUUACAGAAUUUAUAUAGGGAGAUUUUUCUGUGGAUUUUCUCUCCCUUUGGCCAGUUUUCUUACACAAGGAAGCUUUCUGUCCAGCCCAUCAUCUUGGCCAACUCUUGCUAGAACAUAAUAUUCUUUCUCAGACUUUUGUGAGAUAAGAGAAAAAAAAUAUUAAAACAUUCAGAUGGUAAUACAGUCUGCCUAGGGUUUUCAACAAAGAAGAAAAGUAUAGUUUAACGAUGUAUGGAUAGAUUAUAUUAAUUUGAUAUAUUAUCUCAAAAGUAUAAUGUGGAUUCAAGUCUUUUAAUAAAAGCUGAAUUUGUCUGCUGUGUUGCUCUCAUGUUAUGGAAAAGAAUGCACUACAGAGAAAACAGUAAGUGGGAAUAAAGAGUAUAUAGAGAAUGCUCUACAUGUAAGGAUUUAAUUUUUGGUAAGGAAAGCCACAUAGAAAAGAGAAUUUUCUAAUAAGGGAGGAUUGUGUAUGGUAAAAUAAUGUUUUCUCUUUAGAUAAAAUGAUUAUAGUUUUCUAAAAUGGAAAAGAAAAGAUGUGGACAAACCCAAGAGGCUUAAGCAUGUUGCAAAAUGUCUGAGAAAAACCACACAAGGUUGUGAAAGAUGAAACUUAAAGACGGUGUGUGUAAGGUGCUUAAAGGUCAUUAAAAUCCCCAAAGUCAAAAUUCAACACGCAGAUAUAAAACUAAAAUAUAGUCCUCUGUUUAAAACAGUGAGGUCAAAAUCAAAACAAAAUCAUGCUAGGUGCUUGCAGUGCUGAAGCAGGGAGGUCAUAAGUUCAAGACCAGCCUAGGCUUUGUAAGGAGACCAUAUCUCAAAGCCAACAGCAAAAAUGGAGUCAAUUUAUUUCAGUCCUCACAAAAGUAACAGAUCAUUAUGUAGAAAUGAUUUCUACGGCUAACUGACAACACGGAGUGUCUUCUAGCUUUGGCUCCUGCUUAUAUUCUGUUUAUGAUCAUUUGUUUCUGUCUAAAAUAGUUUCACACCAAGUCAUAACUGCUUGUUUUUUCAUGUGGAAUAUUCUAAUAUAUACAACUCUGUCUUGGAGAGUUUCAUUACUGGUUAAAACACCAGACUGAUGAGCAAAUCUUUCGUAAGCUGCAGAUCUUAUAGAUGAGUCACAGUGGAGUUUAGGAUGCUAAGGGGCAGGAGAGACCGAGAGGGCCAAUUUUAUAUUCUGUAUUAUUGUGAUAGUUUAAAUGAGAAUGCCACCCCCCCAUAGGCUCAUAUGUUUGAAUGCUUAGAAAGGAAUAGGACAUAUGGGCUUUCUUAAAGGCCACACUUGGAGGUGGGCUUUAAGGUUUCAAAGUCCAAUGUCAUUUCCAGUGAAGCUCUUUCUGCCUCCUGCUCGUGGAUGAAGAUGUAAGCUCUCAGCUACUGUUCCAGGGAGUUGCCUGAAUGCCUGCCACCAUGCCCUCUGCCAUGAUGGUCAUGGACCAUCUGAUACUAUAAAAGCCCCUAUGAUGGUUUGAAUGAAAAUGGUCCCCAUAGGCUCACAGGGAGUAGCCAGUAGGAGUUAAGGCCUUGUUGGAAGCGUGGCCUUGUUGGAAUAGACGUGGCUUUGUUGGAGGAAGAAAUUAUGGAAUCUUCAUCCACGGGUAAGGAAAGCUGCUGAGGUCAGGCACGCAUCAGGGAUGUCCCUGCAUGGAGGCCUGAGAAGCCACUGUGUGAAGCUGUGAAGGUGAAGCCUGGAUUGCUUUAAAACUCCAAGAUGUUGGAGGUGCCAGAGCCGUGAGACGCUUGUCAAGGAGGUGGAACCAGCCCAAGAGAAAGAAGUGUGUUGCAGUCAGCAAAGCUGAAGGAGUUGGAGAUCCGAAGAGCAUUUUGACAUGAGACAUGGAGAUUCCGAGUUUGGAGUUUGCCCAGCUGGUUUUCAGCUUUAUUUAUGACACCGUAUUUCCUCAUUAUACCCCCUUUCAUCCCUUUCAGAAUGGUAAUACACAUCCUGUGCCAUUGUAUGUUAGAAGUGUGUGAUCUGCUUUUUCAUUUUAAUUUUAUAAGCGUUACGGUUAAGAGAUUGCAUGAGUCUCAGAAGAGACUUGAAUCUUUGGACUUUUAAAGAGUGCUGAUGCAGUGAUAGACAAUGAGGACUUUUGAAGUUGGACUAAAUGCAUUUGCAUUAUGAUAUAGCUAAAAGCCUGUGGGGAAUGGGGAGUGGGAUGGGGAGGUCUGAAAGCAAAUAGUUCCCACAGGCUCAUAGGCGUGGCCUUGUUGGAGUAGGCGUAGUUUUGUUGAAGGAAUUGUGUCACUGGGGAUGUGCUUUGAAGUCUGGUGGAGUUGUACAAGGUUAAAAUGAGCAGAAACUAACCAGGCAAAGUGCUUGAGCCCAAGGUCAGGGUGCAAGGGACAAUAACAAAAGCAAUGUGGAUAUCUCAAAUCUCAGAAUGGUGGCCGACCUCCAGACCAGAGAAACAAAGGGGAACCUUGAAACAAUGGACAGCCUUUCUGCCCCUUCCCUACACCCCCUCCCUACACCCCCUUCUCUCUAUGUAAAUAAUCAUGACUGGGGGUGUUGUUUACUGGGAUCUUAAUCUACUUCUUUUCAGAGCACCAGCCUCCUGGAUAAAGCACCACUUAAAAAGUUAGUUCCACCAAGGCUCAUCGGCCUUUGCGGUGACAGCCACAGUGCUCUCCCUAUAGCAAGAGGAGCCGGUAGCAAUGGAGCCCACAACCAUGAAAUGAAAUCUCUGAAACAUGAGCCAAGACAUCUCACUCCUGCAAGUUAUUUUCUCAGGAAUUAUGCCAUAGCAAAAAGAAAAGGAAAAAACAGACUACUACACAGAUACAUACUCAAGGAAUGACUUAUGGCGGAGCUAUUAUCUAAAAAUUCACAAUAAAUUGAAAAUGAGUUUAAAAUAAUUUCAAUACACCUAAUCUACUGCACAGAGCUGACCAAUGAAAUAUGGACAGUUUCCUAAUCAUGAGAGAUGUGGCUUAACACCAUCCUCCUCCUCCUCAUCAUCAUCAUUAUUUUGUUUUUUUGAAACAGGAUUUCUCCGUGUAACAGAGCCCCUGGCUGUCCUGGAACUUGCUUUGUGGACCAGGCUGGCCUCGAACUCACAGAGCUCUGCCUGCCUCUGUCUGCCAGAGCACUGGGUUUAAAGGCUUGCACCAAUAAGUAUUAUUUUUUUGAGAAACGAUCAAAAUUCAAAAGUUAAAGGACAGUUUUUACUAAAGGACAGUUAUUCAUCAUUGAGGAAUUAUCAGUGGAGCCAUCUUAAAUCAUGACUGUAAGGGUUUUUUUUUAUUAUUUCUUACAUUUUUGAGACUAUACACCAUUAUCCUUUCCCUUUCCUCCCUCCAAACCCUCACAUAUACCCCGCCUUUUUCUCUUUCAAAUUCCUGGCCUCCUUUUUCAUUAAGUUUUUACAUGCACACAUGCAUGUAUACAGAUUCCUACAUAUAGCCCACUCAAUCUCUAUCAUGUUUCUUAUAUGUAUGUUUUCAGGGAUGACUAUUUGGCACUGGAUAACCAGUUGGUGUACUCAUCUUUGGGGAGGACUAUUUCUCCUUCUCUUAGCAUUCCUGGGCUGUCUGCAGUUCUCUCUGGAGGGGUGAGGCUUUGUGACUUUUCCUCUGUUUACUUUGGCAUGGCUAACCCAUAAAGUCUCAUCAACAUGACUGCCUAAAACAGGAUGAACAAAGGCCAUCUGUAUUUUGAAAGUGGAAUUGGGCAGGCUGCUUAUAAAUCGAAUGAGGGUUGUAGAUGUGAGAGGUCAAUAAUGACUCACAUCUUUUUGGUCUGGGGAAAGGAGGCACUGUAAUGCCAUUGACGGAGCCAGUGGUUCCAGGGGAAGAGUAGCUUUGGUGGAGGUGAGGGUAGUGUGGAAACCAUGUGUUCAGUUGGCAAGUGUGACAUUUGAGAUUCUUAUUAGCUAUGUGGAAAUACCAAAAAGGGGCCAGAUAUUUACAUUUGGAGUACAGGACAGAGGUCAAGGCCGGUGAUAAACAUCUGAGAGAUGAUCUUUAUGGGGGGAAAGGUUGUUUUGUUUCUAUUUUAUGACAUAAGGUCCUGCUACAUAGCUCAGGCUGGUCUUGAACUCAUCAUCUUUCUGUCUCAAAUUCCAGAGUGUUGGGAAUACAGAUGUUUGCUACCUGGGAAAUGAUCUCUAGAGCUAUGAGACUGGAUGAGUCCAUCUAAGCUGUUAUAGUCUAUAUGUGUUCUUCCAAAAUAUAUAUCCUGGAAUCCUAAACCCCAAGUGAUGGCUUUAGGGAGUGGGAUUAGGGGGAAAUGAUGAAUUUAUGAGGAUUCUGAAAAAAUGGAAUGAAAGCUUUUAUGAAAGAGACCCCAGAAAGCAGCCAGUCCUUCACCAUGCAAUAACCCAGCGGGGAAGUACAGUCUGUGAGAACCCGAUUCUUACCAGAGGCUAGGCUGGUGGUGCCACCACCGUGGAUUUUCCAUGUUUCAGAACCAUGAGGUGGGGACACGUUGUUUUCUAGGCUACCAGUCAACAGUGUUUUCCACAGGAAAAGUGAGGAAACAAGGAGAGAUGGCUCAAGACCGAGCCCUACGUCUGCAGUUUUGCUGGGGAGGAGGAUGUGCAAGGAUGCUUGGAAAGUAGAGGCUGAAGGGUAGAGAUGGAAGAGCAAAAGAGAGAGAGAGAUCUUAGGGGCGGAUUGGAAUAGUCGUUUAUGAGCCAUGCCAAAGGUAUAUGAAAGGUCUGGAACGGAGUCCUGAGAUCUGGGUGCUAGGUUUGGCGAAGGGGACCUUGGCAACACUUCCACCCAUGGAGGAAGGAGCAUAUUAGGAGAAAGAGAGAGAGAGAGAGAGAGAGAGAGAGAGAGAGAGAGAGAGAGAUGAGGCUGUGAAGAUAACAACAGUAAUUACUCUUUCAAAGGAGCUUCGCUGCAGAGGCACAGAGAAAUCCAUUGAUGGAGUGGAUUGUGGGGAUGACUUUAUUUUUAAGAUGGGAGAUAUUAUGGCAUGUUUUCUGUGCUGAUAAGCAUGAUCCAGUAAAGAGCAAAAAGUGGCAAAACAGAAGAAAGAGAGGUCAGUCUGCAACCACUUUGAGUAGGGGAGGGAGAGAUGUACAAAUCGGAGAGUUUGGCCUUAGACGGAGGCGUGGACUCUUCACUUCUUGUAAUAGGAGGGCAGUCAGUGUGCAGACAGACGGAUGGACGCCAUGGAAAGUUCCCUUGACUCAGUGAAACAAUACACAAGGUCAUCAGCUGAGAAUGGGGAGAGGGUGACAGGAAUGGGUCUGAGGAGAGAGGAGAAGAUAUCAACAGUUCUGAGCCAAUUAUCUAGGUGAGCAAAGGAGCACUCCCCACAGCACAGAGGGCUCCCCUGAGGCUCAUGACCAUGAAUUUAAAUGAAACAAAUCAAUAUGGGUGUGUAUUUUUCCCAGUCAUGAUUGCAGGUGAGGGGCAGACAGUGAGUUGGAUUUAAUCAGGACUAGAAUUUUACCAGGCAGACAUUAAGAAUGAGACACGGGCAAGGCAGCUGAUUGUAAUGACGCAAAGAGCAAUUAUAGCGAUGGAGGUAGGAGUCUGAAAUGGGUGCGGAGAGGAGGUAGGUGCAGGGGUGGUAGCUGGGUAAUGUGGUGGUCCUGAUUUAGUGUGCAGUGACAUCACAGAUAAUGAGGGGUAGGGUUAGAGGAAGAGGAAAUGCCAAAGGACGAGGAGGAGGAGGUGGAAGAGGGCAUUGGAGCGGUGAGGUCAACAAGCUGAAAAGGCACAGUGCUUAUAUUAGACAACAGAAAUCAUUAAAUAUCAUAACAAGUGGAUGAUGGGGUAACAUGAACAGGGAUGGAUGUUGAGGAGGACGGAAGAUAGUGCCACAGAGUAAAAGAAUUGGUUAGUAUAACCUGAUCCCUGUGCCUCAAAAGGAGUCCAGGAAUUCCAGCUGAAAGUGGCAACGGGCAGAGAAGGCACUGGCAGAACACGUGUGUGAGUUGUGAUUCCUGGUGCCGGGGACAAUCUAGGAACCAGAGAGAUGAGAGUCCGACUUUACAGACUGUAUUCCAACUGAAGAAGCAACACGAUGCUCAGUGCACUAUGGGAUACUAAGUGCUGAGGAAGAACAUGGAAAAUGACUGGGAGGUGGGGCUACUUUAGGUCAGACAGCCUGGAUGAAAAGGCCUUGGGGGUAGAAUGUGUCUUGGGGGUAGGCAAAGGAAAAAGGAAAAGAAAGCGCAAUGGCUAGUUCAAACUUAGGGUUCAGGGCUGGUGAAAUGCCUCAGCAUCAGCUAAGCUGCUGCUGAGCCCAACAACCUGACUUCAAUCCCUGGGUCCCACACAGUGGGAGACUGAUUCCUGCAAGUUGUCCUCUGACACAUGCUCCAUGCCAUAGCAUGUGUUUACAUGCUUGAACACACACGAAAGAAAGAAAGAAAGAAAGAAAGAAAGAAAGAAAGAAAGAAAGAAAGAAAGAAAGAAAGAAAGGAAGGAAGGAAGGAAGGAAGGAAGGAAGGAAGGAAGGAAAAUGCAAUUAAAAAACAGUGUUCAGAAAGACUUAUGGGAUUGCAUCCAUGUCAGACAAACUACAAAUCACAAAGAAAUAAGAAUCUGGACCAAAAUGUUCAUCGUUUUUAAGGCUAUAUCAGCUCUGGAAAUAAUGUUCUAUGGGUUUGUGUGUGUGUGUGUGUGUGUACAAAAGUUACAGCACUCCCAAAAGGUGCUUUCCAGAAAAUGAUACAAAUUUUUCUUUUGCCCUUAACCAAAUCCUUCUUCCUUUGUCUAAAAUCGAAGAACAUCUUAAUUCUGUUUAUGUUGUUGGAGGAACAUUAAAAUUGCAUCAUUGGU